rnacentral:lncRNA from 1 species
UGAGGCGCCAGAAUUGGGCGCCAUGGCACCCAAUGAAGCAGCAAAGGGAGCAGAAACGCUAAGGCUGCAGCACCAAAUCCAGACUUCGCGGCGUCGACCCCGAACUGCAGAAGACCCAGAGUUUUAAAUUACAAUCUCUCGGCCCAAUUCAUCUACACUCGGUCCAGAAUUCCAAGAGAAUAUAAAUACUGGAAAGAAGACCUAACCAAGGGGAUUGGAAGCGGCAAAAACAGAGCUUCGAAGAGGGACGACUGAAGACAAAAUUGAAAGGGGGUUUUGGUGGAAUUUGAAGGGAGCUUCAGCCGACCAAGUUGGGGGACAAUAUGGAGAGGAAACAGAGACUUUCAGCAGACAACUGGAAGGAGAGAAUCUGGGAAUUGAGUCGGUCAAUUGAGGAAGAAAAGAGGAGUUUCCAGCCACUCAUUAAUACAAAACUUGAAGAGGGAUUCUGGAAGGAUUUCAACCGUAAAACACAGAAAACUUCAAGGGGAUUGAAGAGAAGUCAGCCUGCAGAGACAAUAAUUUCAAGGGAACGGCUGGAUACAAUUGAAGGGGACGACUCACCUUGAGAAGCGUGGAAACAAAGGGAAAAGAAUUGUUUGACACUUGGUUUAUUUCUUUUGUUCGACACUUAGGGUAUGUUUGAUUACAUUUAUUUUUCAUGAAAAAUAUUAAUUUUUCACCCAAAUUUCUACUUGAAGUAUUUGAUUGCUAUUUUUUUCCAUGGAAAAUAUUUUCCAACUUUUGAAAAUAUGUCUAAUUUUAUUUGUUUUUAAGGAAAAUAUUUUCUUUGGGUGGAG